GUCUCUCUCACUCACUCUGUGAGUCUCUCUCACUCACUCUGUGAGUCUCUCUCUACCCGUCUGUCUGUCUGUCUGUCUUUUCUUUCUGUCUGUCUGUCUUUUCUUUCGUUCUUUCGUUCUUUCGUUCUUUCGUUCUUUCGUUCUUUCGUUCUUUCGUUCUUUCUUUCUUUCUUUCUUUCUUUCUUUCUUUCUUUCUUUCUUUCUUUCUUUCUUUCUUUCUUUCUUUCUUUCUUUCUUUCUUUCUUUCUUUCUUUCUUUCUUUCUUUCUUUCUUUCUUUCUUUGAAGAGGAAGGUGUGGCAUGUUCUGUCUUCCUGGGAUCUCUUCCUCUGGCAACCUGGCUCCUGUCCAGCUUCCACUCAGGGAGGGAUUUUUCCCGAUCUCUUGGCCCGUUUUGUCUAUUUCUGGUUUUUCCGAUCUCUUGGCCCGUUUUGUCUAUUUCUGGUUUUUCCGAUCUCUUGGCCCGUUUUGUCUAUUUCUGUUUUUCCGAUCUCUUGGCCCGUUUUGUCUAUUUCUGUUUUUUCCGAUCUCUUGGCCCGUUUUGUCUAUUUCUGGUUUUUCCGAACUCUUGGCCCGUUUUGUCUAUUUCUGGUUUUUCCGAUCUCUUUGCCCGUUUUGUCUAUUUCUGNNNNNNNNNNUUUCUUUCUUUCUUUCUUUCUUUCUUUCUUUCUUUCUUUCUUUCUUUCUUUGAAGAGGAAGGUGUGGCAUGUUCUGUCUUCCUGGGAUCUCUUCCUCUGGCAACCUGGCUCCUGUCCAGCUUCCACUCAGGGAGGGAUUUUUCCCGAUCUCUUGGCCCGUUUUGUCUAUUUCUGGUUUUUCCGAUCUCUUGGCCCGUUUUGUCUAUUUCUGGUUUUUCCGAUCUCUUGGCCCGUUUUGUCUAUUUCUGUUUUUCCGAUCUCUUGGCCCGUUUUGUCUAUUUCUGUUUUUUCCGAUCUCUUGGCCCGUUUUGUCUAUUUCUGGUUUUUCCGAACUCUUGGCCCGUUUUGUCUAUUUCUGGUUUUUCCGAUCUCUUUGCCCGUUUUGUCUAUUUCUGNNNNNNNNNNUACGCCGCACAUUCCCUCUCUACCUCGUUAUCUCCAGCUAUCCCACUGUGCCGGAUUCAGUUUUCUCUACUGCUCCGAUUUAUGAUCCCCCUUUUAAUUUCCUCUGAUUCUAGCGAGCCUCUUGGUAAUGAAGACAACUAG
rnacentral:lncRNA from 13 species